rnacentral:lncRNA from 1 species
GUGAAGAAUAGGGGCUGAGAAGGUUCUGUCCAGUGAUGUGACACAGCUUCCAGAACGUUCCUCACAGCAGGUGCCCUGAAAGCCCAGACCCAGCCGGCAGGUCACUUGCUGAGCUGCUACUUGAACAUCCAGAGGCAUCAUUCAGAGUGAAGAGAGAGGCUGUUUCUUCAAAGGCAGGCGUGCUGGACGGAAGAAAACCACUGUGUCCACGAUCGUGUCCAAAUAAACAGAGUUAAUGUAAUGAAGAAGUUCCUUCGGAGCUCUGGGUCAGAUCUUCUCACUGAGAGAACUCAAGAGGGGAAUCAUCAGGUAACCCCAACGGCCUGGAAGCCAAGGAAGGCAGUGUACAGCCUGUGCCGUGGAUGGAUGGAGAGGAGACAAGAUGCCGCGGCCAUAGAGAACUGCCCCGUGUGGACAGCACUGCCCGGUGGACUAGGAAUUGCCAUGGAAUUGGAAAGCAGAAGGGGGAGGUCUGUGUUGUCUGUGGAUCUUCCGUCUAGAGUGGCCCUGGGCCCAAGCUGAAUCCCCCAGCUUGAAAAGGCCAGUGGUUUCUCUGUGUAGCUUUGGAGCCUGUCCAGCACGAGGCCAAACUUGAAAAUGCAGAUUGCACUGAAGCUUUGCUGAACAGUUGCAACCCACGAAAACUCAGCAAGUGUGUGUCAACUCAUUUCUAAUCUACUCACUGAAAGUCAGAAAAGUCCCUUUUAGAUGUGAGAACUCAGCAAGAUGCUAAGGGACUCUGUCUCCUUCUGUCCCAACCAGACAUUGAAAUACAGUGACACACCUCACAGCAGCACUUUGGUCAAGGAUG